CUCGUUACCAAUUUCACAUGCAGUUCCCUCCUUAUUCAUGUAUUGCUCUCCUUAUUCAUGUAUUGCAUUGAAAAGUGUUACCUGUUGCGUUUGAUACUAUCUUCCCUCCGCUUUUCAUUUGUUAGCUGGUUUUUUUUUUUGCAAUCUGACAUACCUCGGGUCUUAAAAAAUAUCAUGCAGGUUAUUCGGUUCUUUAAAUGUUGAUGAUAAGUCUUGUUGUAUGUAUUGCUAUUGCCUUUUCUUCUUCAUAUUAAACACAGGUGCUUCAUAUGGAUGUUUUUCAUUUUUAAGGAUGUUUCUUUUUUUGUAUAGCGUACAUAACAUUUAUAACAUAUCUGUAAUCUUUGCCAUUGUAAAAUCUUUG
rnacentral:lncRNA from 1 species